rfam:Schistosoma rodhaini strain Burundi genome assembly, scaffold: SROB_scaffold0001745
UCCCUGCUGAGGAGUCCUAUAAUAGAACGAAACGGCUGUCCAGUGC